CUCCAUUUAGUUUGGUUGGUUCGAUUAGUUUUUCGAUUUUUUUGCCCACCCUGGUAGGAAGAACUAAGAGGGCUUGAGGAUGAAAUUUAUAUUACUUUUGGAAGUAUGCCCCAAAUGAUGUCAAAGAAACAUUAUUAGUUUUGUCAAGUACAACGUGGAUCACAAUCGCUAUGCAAUGGCCAUGAGAUCGAAUGUAGUUUUAGAUACUACUUCCCACUGUCAAGGCAUCUUUAUUUUUUAUUUUUUCAAAUUGUUGUGGCUAUUAUCAUUUUUCAGAUUCUGCUAGGGGUUAAAAAAGAUUAGAAUUUUGAUGGUCUGAUGAUUAGGGUCUUUUAAGUUUAAUCACGGUAGCUAUAGCCAAUGUAUACAAUUUUGUCAUUCAGUAAUCCAGAUCUUUUACAUUAGUCAAGCAUUUGCCG
rnacentral:lncRNA from 1 species